rnacentral:misc_RNA from 1 species
AUUGCAGCGGCUUCCACCCUUUGUGUUGUUUGGCACUGUUGCGCCUCGCCCUAAAUCCAAACUCGACAGCUUCCCACGCUGCGUCCCGUAGACCACCCCCGCCCCCACCCGCAGCAAAACGCCUGCUUGGAGCUCGUUUGUGUACGUGCGCUUCUGCGCCCCUGCGUUCCCCACUUUGGGCGGUGUGCUAUGCGUGGGCACACCUUACUUGCCGAGUUCAUCUCUGUUCCCGGGCCACCGUCUUUAUUCGUAGUUUAUUGGGCUGCUGCGGAACACCAACCAUGAGCUCUACCGAUUCACCGCCAACGGUUCAUCCGCCGGUGGUCGAACGCUUGCGCAUCGCUGUCCGUGAGCGACCGGCAUCUGAUGAGGAGGUUCCCUUGACACAGGUGCUAAUCCGUGCCGAUCAAGACAAACUCAUUGCCUUCGCCCCAAAGCCGCGGAUGGGCUUAUGUACGACUUUGACUACUUCUACCCGCAAAAUGCGCGCCAGGCUGACGUUUUUUGCACGAUCGGGCUCGAGAUGGUCGACUUGGUGAUGGGCGGGCUCAGUGCCAACUGCAUUGCCAUAGGCUACGCGGAGACAGGUAAGACACACACACUCUUUGGCAGCCCGAAUGAGUCUGGGCUCAUCCAAGACACCGUGCGAGAACUCUUCCGGCGACUGGAGGCGCAGAGGCACACGCACGAGUACAGUGUCGGCUUCUCGUACUGGGAGAUGAACUGCAACAGUGUCCUUGACAAUCUCGCAGAGGACGAAGCAGCGUUUUCUGACGUUAGUGCUGCAGCGAGCAGCACUGCGCGCAACCACGCUGUUUAUCGCGAUGGCUUUGGCCGCCUGUAUCUUUCGCACAUGACGGAGGUACCAGUGAAGGACUUUGCCGCCUUCGAGACGCUGCUGGGCCAAGGUAACGAGCGUCGUGUGCGGCGCGGCUACGCUCGACAGUUCCGCUGGCACGGCUUUGUGCAGCUCUCUCUCAUGACCCUUGACAAGCACACUGGUGAGAAGUGCGUGCUGCGUCGCGUGACGUUUGUGCAUACGAAAGGCUCGGAGAGAGUCGGCGCCAACAGGGCACCAAAGCAUAUUCUGCGGGAGGGGAGCCAGGUGAAUGUGAGUAGCACGUUGCUGAACGCGGCAGUUAUACACUCGCUCGAGUACCGCGCCAAGCGGGCUGACCAAUGCCGCACCCAGGCGCAGCUGCACCGCCUGAUUCAACGUAGCGAGUCGUUUUUCAUGGAGUGUCGCUACACUCAAGUCAUGUCGCAGCUCAUGUGCGGGCACGAGGCAUGCUUCGUCGUUGGCUGCGUGGACCCUCUGUCGUACAGUGAAACAACUGAGACGCUAGAGAACCUGCAGCUGUAUCGCAACCUGUUAGCGGCCUGCGUGCCGGUGGUGACGCUGUCGGAGCGCGGGCGACUGCUGCGGCAGCUGCGCGCCAUGGAGACGGCGAUGGGCGGGGAGGAGAUGCUUCAGUUCAUCUACUUUGGCACCUCUGGCCGUCCCCGCACGGAGCAGGAGGAGGCUUUACUCGCCUUGCGCGGUAAGUUGGAAAUGUGGGGUAUGGACAAAGCAUGCGAGACGCAGGGGAGUGGUCUUUUGAAGGAUGCGGCUACGCCCUGCGGCAUCAUCGACGCCGAGGGUCGCAGCACCCGCAAAGUCGUCUUCCUAAACGCCGCCAAGACGGCCACCUACGAAGGACAGUGGAAGGGCGCCGUGUUUGACGGCUUCGGCGAGCACAUCCAGGCCAACUUCAAGUACCGCGGCGAGUUCCGCAACGGCAGGCGUGAGGGACACGGUACCCUUUUCCUGCGCGACACAAAAGAGAGCACGUAUCGCCGCGUGUACGAAGGCGAGUGGCUUGGUGGGCAGCGCGACGGUCGUGGCACGCAGUGGGGCAGCGACGGGGAGGUCUACGAGGGUGACUUCGCCGCGAAUGAACGGCAAGGGCUGGGGAAGCUGUACCUCGCAAACGGGGACGUGAUCGAGGGCAACUUCAGCCACAACAAGUGCGAGGGCUGGGCAGUGCUACGGCAGACGAACGGUGACUGGUUCGAGGGGUAUUGGAUGAACGGCGAACGCGAGGGCCCCGGUGUGUGGCACUACGUCAGCCGCCAGCGGUGUCUGCGCGGCGAGUGGCAUCACAACAAAGCGGUAAUGGGCACCAUGGAAGACGACGCGGACAAGAUCGACGAUAGCACAGGCCCUUUUAUUCCUCGCCUACAGCUGCUAAACAGCGAGGAUAUUCUUGCCCAGCAGCGAAAGCGACUAAUAGAGAAGCGUCGCUUGGAGUUUUCGGCUGCCGGCAAGACGUGGGUAGACUACGCCGCGAUGAACAAGAGGUGCACCGUGUCGAUCGCCGCUACAGCGACACCGAUGACUACCAGCAAGCAUGCGGCUCCUGCUGACGGUCAUACCGUCUAUGGACUGGAGAUUGAGUAGAGAACGGGGGCAGUGGAGUGGCCAUGACCACAUAGAGACGCGCCGCAGCCGAAGCUGCCUUCGAUUUUCUCUAGCUUCCCCUCCUGCUCUUGCGUAUGUGUGUUGUGUGUGUAAGGAGGUGAGGGAGGUACUCUGGCACAGUGGGCUGAUGUAAGCAGCUCUGCUUCAUGUACAGUAGGCGAGGUGUCAAAUCUCUUUCUGUUCUGUUUUCUUUUUUUUUGUGUGUGUGUGUGUGGCUGCGUUUCCGCGCGUUUGGUCUGUGCGUGCGCGCACCAUCUUUGCAUGGCACACCACGAGAGCGGCAUCCUGCCUCCACACGAAAAAGGACGAAGUGCCGAAGGGGGGAGAAGAGCAGAGCCAUAGUGGGCUCUUUGCUUCAGUGCACUGCACCACCUCUCUUGCGACAGCCUACUGGGCCAGCGUAGAACCCGAGGCGCAGAAACCUGUCGCCACAGCGUGCCUCGUACGUGUGUGGAUGUCUUUGGGUACAGCUCCGGCCCUGAUUUAGCUUUUGCCCUCGGAGCUACGGUGAC